rnacentral:rRNA from 1 species
AGUGAACGCUGGCGGUAGGCCUAACACAUGCAAGUCGAACGGCAGCACAGUAAGAGCUUGCUCUUACGGGUGGCGAGUGGCGGACGGGUGAGGAAUACAUCGGAAUCUACUUUUUCGUGGGGGAUAACGUAGGGAAACUUACGCUAAUACCGCAUACGACCUACGGGUGAAAGCAGGGGAUCUUCGGACCUUGCGCUAUUGAAUGAGCCGAUGUCGGAUUAGCUCGUUGGCGGGGUAAAGGCCCACCAAGGCGACGAUCCGUAGCUGGUCUGAGAGGAUGAUCAGCCACACUGGAACUGAGACACGGUCCAGACUCCUACGGGAGGCAGCAGUGGGGAAGAUUGGACAAUGGGCGCAAGCCUGAUCCAGCCAUACCGCGUGGGUGAAGAAGGCCUUCGGGUUGUAAAGCCCUUUCGUUGGGAAAGAAAAGCAGCAGGUUAAUACCCCGCUGUUCUGACGGUACCCAAAGAAUAAGCACCGGCUAACUUCGUG